rnacentral:rRNA from 1 species
CAGGGAAUAUUGCACAAUGGGCGCAAGCCUGAUGCAGCGACGCCGCGUGCGGGAUGAAGGCCUUCGGGUUGUAAACCGCUUUCAGGAGGGACGAAAUUGACGGUACCUCCAGAAGAAGCCCCGGCCAACUACGUGCCAGCAGCCGCGGUAACACGUAGGGGGCGAACGUUGUCCGGAUUUAUUGGGCGUAAAGGGCUCGUAGGCGGCUUGACAAGUCGGUCGUGAAAACCCGGGGCUCAACCCCGGGACGCCGGUCGAUACUGUCAUGGCUAGGGUCUGGUAGAGGUGAGUGGAAUUCUCGGUGUAGCGGUGAAAUGCGCAGAUAUCGAGAGGAACACCAGUAGCGAAGGCGGCUCACUGGGCCGGUACCGACGCUGAGGAGCGAAAGCGUGGGGAGGCAAACAGGAUUAGAUACCCUGGUAGUCACGCCGUAAACGUUGAACACUAGGUGUGGCGGACUGAUCUACGUCUGCCGUGCCGCAGCUAACGCAUUAAGUGUUCCGCCU